UACGGGGGGGGCAAGCGUUGUUCGGAAUUACUGGGCGUAAAGGGCUCGUAGGCGGCCAACUAAGUCAGACGUGAAAUCCCCAGGCUCAACCUGGGAACUGCGUCUGAUACUGGAUGGCUUGAAUUCGGGAGAGGGAUGCAGAAUUCCAGGUGUAGCGGUGAAAUGCGUAGAUAUCUGGAGGAAUACCGGUGGCGAAGGCGGGUCUCUGGACAGUUCCUGACACUGAGGCACGAAGGCCAGGGGAGCAAACGGG
rnacentral:rRNA from 1 species